UGAGCAACGUUUGUGUGUCGCUGGGAUGUGAUAACAGAGCUUGUUAUUCUAUCCCGCAGUCUGUUGCAGUUUUAGGAUGCAAUUUCCGCAGAUUCCGUGAGGAACAUUGCAUCACAAAGGCCUGCUCUUGCAGGGCCUGAGGGAGUUUCCCCCACGCUUUUAUGGCUCCGCACUGAAUGAACUUUUCUUGGCUGUUUCACCCGUCAGCCUUUAAAGUCCACUGGUGAAUGUUGGUUGGCUUUCUCUGCGCUAAACUGGACCAUUCAGCGGCAAUUACAGUCCUUAAUCACCAUGAGAAAUUUGAGGGAAAGGUAGACCUUCCAAAAUGCUGUCAAUGCAGCAGCAGGAGAGAUUGAGGACAGCAGGCCAUUGGAAGACACACAAGAAAACAAAAGGGACUCGGAUCUUGGGCUGGCCCCUGAGUCUGCGUGAACAGG